AUUACUGGUGAAAUUGGGAAUUUCAGUUAAUUCGAAACGGUGUCAUUUUCUUCACUCAUCUUCUUCCUGCAUUUGUUCAUUUUCUGUCCCCAAUCAGUGGUGAUAGCGGGCCUCUUUUCAUAACAUUCCUCACCCUUGUCCAUGAGGUUCAAACUGGAGGAAACUUAUCUUUGUUAUCCAUUUCACCAAUCGUGUUAGCUAAAGUUUCCAUGGUAAUUUUAGCUAGACUCCCUCUUGAUUAAAUUCUGGCAAGUUGCUCAUAGGCAUUUCUUCUUCAGCAGAGGUGUGUCAAAUACAGGGUGGAUUUUAGCUCCACUCCCUCUUGAUCAAGUAUUUGCAGAGCAUAUGGAUGAAGUUUCAGGAAGAUUCGCAAAUUUGUGGACAACAAUGUGGUUAGAAAGUUAACUCAUAUCCACCUCACUAGGGUGAUGGCGAUACAACAAUUGAUGUAUUCAGGGAAGUCCUAGCUCUUAUUUGUAUUUACUUUAACAUGAGGACAAUCUCUACUUUAAGUUUGGGGGUGAAAAAUAUUGAAUCUUUAAUUUUAUUAUUCUUGCGUGAUUAUGUAUUUGUAUUUCUUUAUCAUACAUAAAAAAUUGUUUUUUUUUUAA